rnacentral:rRNA from 2 species
CGAGAAAACUUUGCAAUGUGCGAAAGCACGACAAGGUUAAUCCGAGUGGUUUCUGCUAAAGGAACCUUUUGUCGGUCCUAGAAACACCGAUGAAUAAGGGGUGGGCAAGUUCUGGUGUCAGCCGCCGCGGUAAAACCAGCACCUCAAGUGGUCAGGAUGAUUAUUGGGCCUAAAGCAUCCGUAGCCUGCUUUGUUAGUUUUCGGUUAAAUCUAUACGCUCAACGUAUAGGCUGCCGGGAAUACUGCAAAGCUAGGGAGUGGGAGAGGUAGACGGUACUCGGUAGGAAGGGGUAAAAAUCCUUUGAUCUAUUGAUGACCACCUGUGGCGAAGGCGGUCUACCAGAACACGUUCGACGGUGAGGGAUGAAAGCUGGGGGAGCAAACCGGAUUAGAUACCCGGGUAGUCCCAGCUGUAAACGAUGCAGACUCGGUGAUGCCCUGGCUUGUGGCCAGUGCAGUGCCGCAGGGAAGCCGUU